rnacentral:tRNA from 1 species
GUUAUGAUAGUUUAAAAAAACAAAGGUUUUGUAAUCCUUAAUUGAUAUACUUCUCAUAACU